UACGUAGGGUGCAAGCGUUGUCCGGAAUUAUUGGGCGUAAAGAGCUCGUAGGCGGUUUGUCGCGUCUGCUGUGAAAACCCGAGGCUCAACCUCGGGUCUGCAGUCGAUACGAGCAAACUAGAGUGUUGCAGGGGAGACUGGAAUUCCUGGUGUAGCGGUGAAGUGCGCAGAUAUCAGGAGGAACACCGGUGGCGAAGGCGGGUCUCUG
rnacentral:rRNA from 1 species